AUGGACAUGAAGGUCCCGACUCAGCUCCUGGGGCUCCUGCUGCUCUGCCUCCCAGGUAUCAGAUGUGACAUCCAGAUGACCCAGUCUCCAUCCUCCCUGGCUGCAUCUCCAGGAGAAACAGUCACCAUCUCUUGCCGGGCCAGUCAGGGCAUUAAUAAGAAUUUAGCCUGGUACCAGCAGAAACCAGGAAACGCCCCUAAGCACCUGAUUUAUGGAGCAUCCAACUUGCAAUCUGGGGUCUCAUCGAGGUUCAGUGGCAGUGGGUCUGGGACAGAUUAUUCUCUCACCAUUAAAAGCCUGGAAACUGAUGAUGCUGGAACAUAUUACUGUCAACAAUAUAAUAAUAUCCCUCACACGGUGUUACAAGCUCGAACAAAAACCCCCCAGGGAAGCAGAUGUGUGAGGCAGGGCUGCCCCAGCUGCUCCUCCUGGAGCUGCACCUCCCGGUGCCUCCAUCUGCCCAGAGCUUUUCUUAGAGACAGCCAAGUUGUGAAGGUUUUGGUAGACAGGGCCAGGGAGUCCCCUGUGCAUUCUAACCCUUCCUCAGUCUCAGCAGUGCAGACAUGUCAAAGCCUCUCCUGA